rnacentral:rRNA from 1 species
GAUCAUGGCUCAGGAUGAACGCUGGCGGCGUGCUUUAACACAUGCAAGUCGAACGAAGCACUUCAUAAAGCUUGCUUUAAGAAGUGACUUAGUGGCGGACGGGUGAGUAACGCGUGGGUAACCUGCCUUACACAGGGGGAUAACAGUUAGAAAUGACUGCUAAUACCGCAUAAAACAGCAGAGUCGCAUGACUCAACUGUCAAAGAUUUAUCGGUGUAAGAUGGACCCGCGU